GACGAACCGUGCGAACGUUGUUCGGAAUCACUGGGCUUAAAGGGCGCGUAGGCGGGUCACCAAGUCCGGGGUGAAAUCUUUCGGCUCAACCGGAAAAUAGCCUUGGAUACUGGUGGUCUGGAGGGUGGUAGGGGCAUGUGGAACUUCCGGUGGAGCGGUGAAAUGCGUUGAUAUCGGAAGGAACGCCGGUGGCGAAAGCGACGUGCUGGACCACUACUGACGCUGAGGCGCGAAAGCCAGGGGAGCAAACGGG
rnacentral:rRNA from 1 species